AAGUCGUAACAAGGUUUCCGUAGGUGAACCUGCGGAAGGAUCAUUCACAAUGAGUGUUUAAUGGCACUCCAAAUCCAUUACCCACCUUGUGUGCAUUGUCGGGAGGACUCUUUUUCCCAAUCUUCUCUCUCACUCUCUCCUUUCUCCUCUUCCUCCCUCUCUCUCUCUCUUUGAGGGGAGAGAGGGGGGUUGUGGAGGGGGGAGGAGGGGAGAAGGGAGAGGGAAAGAGGGAACUCCAUUUCAUUCAUACUCUGUUCUUCAGUAUCUGUCUACUUCAAUUGAGUAUAAAACUCGAAUACAACUUUCAACAACGGAUCUCUUGGCUCUC
rnacentral:misc_RNA from 1 species